AUGCGAGAUCGGCCGGAAUCUUUAGGGGAUUUAGUGGCGGUACCGGUGAGUAACGCGUGGAGAAUCUGGCUUCAGGUCUGGGACAACAGUUGGAAACGACUGCUAAUACCGGAUGUGCCGAGAGGUGAAAGGCUUGCUGCCUGAAGAUGAGCUUGCGUCUGAUUAGCUAGUUGGUGGGGUAAGAGCCUACCAAGGCGACAUCAGUAGCUGGUCUGAGAGGAUGAUCAGCCACACUGGGACUGAGACACGGCCCAGACUCCUACGGGAGGCAGCAGUGGGGAAUUUUCCGCAAUGGGCGAAAGCCUGACGGAGCAAUACCGCGUGAGGGAGGAAGGCUCUUGGGUUGUAAACCUCUUUUCUCACGGAAGAAAAAAAUGACGGUACCUGAGGAAUAAGCAUCGGCUAACUCCGUGCCAGCAGCCGCGGUAAUACGGAGGAUGCAAGCGUUAUCCGGAAUGAUUGGGCGUAAAGGGUCCGCAGGUGGCUGUGUAAGUCUGCUGUUAAAGAGUCAUGCUCAACAUGAUCAAGGCAGUGGAAACUACAAGGCUAGAGUGCGUUCGGGGCAGAGGGAAUUCCUGGUGUAGCGGGAAAAUGCGUAGAAAUC
rnacentral:rRNA from 1 species